GACGAGGUGGUCGAGUGGUUAAGGCGAUGGACUGCUAAUCCAUUGUGCUCUGCACGCGUGGGUUCGAAUCCCUUCCUCGCCG
rnacentral:tRNA from 2 species